UCCGGUUGAUCCUGCCGGACCUGACUGCUAUCGGAUUGAUACUAAGCCAUGCGAGUCAUUGUAGCAAUACAAGGCAGACGGCUCAGUAAUGCGUAGUCAAUCUACCCUAUGGACGGGGAUAACCUCGGGAAACUGAGAAUAAUACCCGACAGAACAUUAUGCCUGGAAUGGCUUAUGUUUUAAAUGAUUUAUCGCCGUAGGAUGGGACUGCGGCCUAUCAGUUUGUUGGUGAGGUAAUGGCCCACCAAGACUAUUACAGGUACGGGCUCUGAGAGGAGUGGCCCGGAGAUGGGUACUGAGACACGGACCCAGGCCCUAUGGGGCACAGCAGGCGAGAAAACUUUGCAAUGUGCGAAAGCACGACAAGGUUAAUCCGAGUGGUUUCUGCUAAAGAAACCUUUUGUUAGUCCUAGAAACACUGACGAAUAAGGGGUGGGCAAGUUCUGGUGUCAGCCGCCGCGGUAAAACCAGCACCUCAAGUGGUCAGGAUGAUUAUUGGGCCUAAAGCAUCCGUAGCUUGCUUUGUAAGUUCUCGGUUAAAUCCAUGCGCUUAACGUAUGGGCUGCCGGUAAUACUGCAAAGCUAGGGAGUGGGAGAGGUAGACGGUACUCGGUAGGAAGGGGUAAAAUCCUUUGAUCUAUUGAUGACCACCUGUGGCGAAGGCGGUCUACCAGAACACGUCCGACGGUGAGGGAUGAAAGCUGGGGGAGCAAACCGGAUUAGAUACCCGGGUAGUCCCAGCUGUAAACUAUGCAAACUCAGUGAUGCAUUGGCUUGUGGCCAAUGCAGUGCUGCAGGGAAGCCGUUAAGUUUGCCGCCUGGGAAGUACGUACGCAAGUAUGAAACUUAAAGGAAUUGGCGGGA
rnacentral:rRNA from 1 species